rnacentral:rRNA from 1 species
GCUCAGGAUGAACGCUGGCGGCGUGCCUAAUACAUGCAAGUCGAGCGAACAGAUAAGGAGCUUGCUCCUUUGAAGUUAGCGGCGGACGGGUGAGUAACACGUGGGUAACCUACCUAUAAGACUGGAAUAACUUCGGGAAACCGGAGCUAAUGCCGGAUAACAUAUAGAACCGCAUGGUUCUAUAGUGAAAGAUGGUUUUGCUAUCACUUAUAGAUGGACCCGCGCCGUAUUAGCUAGUUGGUAAGGUAAAGGCUUACCAAGGCGACGAUACGUAGCCGACCUGAGAGGGUGAUCGGCCACACUGGAACUGAGACACGGUCCAGACUCCUACGGGAGGCAGCAGUAGGGAAUCUUCCGCAAUGGGCGAAAGCCUGACGGAGCAACGCCGCGUGAGUGAUGAAGGUUUUCGGAUCGUAAAACUCUGUUAUUAGGGAAGAACAAAUGCGUAAGUAACUGUGCGCAUCUUGACGGUACCUAAUCAGAAAGCCACGGCUAACUACGUGCCAGCAGCCGCGGUAAUACGUAGGUGGCAAGCGUUAUCCGGAAUUAUUGGGCGUAAAGCGCGCGUAGGCGGUUUCUUAAGUCUGAUGUGAAAGCCCACGGCUCAACCGUGGAGGGUCAUUGGAAACUGGGAAACUUGAGUGCAGAAGAGGAAAGUGGAAUUCCAUGUGUAGCGGUGAAAUGCGCAGAGAUAUGGAGGAACACCAGUGGCGAAGGCGACUUUCUGGUCUGUAACUGACGCUGAUGUGCGAAAG